UUCACUGACUAUUUUCUAAAUAUUAAAGAAAAUAUUUACACUCUGUGGACGGAAUUGUGGAAGAAAGAUCAGGAAAACAAGGGAAAGUGGUAUGGAAGUAUCCAAGAUAACCUGCCUGUUAAACCAUGGUAUGACAAAUUGAAAACUAGUGAAAGUCGAGAUUUCAUCACAACAAUAAACAGAUUGAGAUUUGGCCAUAAUACUGCGCCGUCACACCUAGCAAGACUUGGCAUUGUUUCAAAUAACCAAUGUAUACACUGUCAAGCAGAAGAAGGGACGAUCCAUCACAUUAUUUUCGAUUGCCAAAGUUUCAUAAUUCAAAGACUUGUGCUGGCUAGUGAACUUAGUGAUACCAAUGCAUUUAAGUGUGUCUCUUCCUCCCGCCCGCCGCCACUUAACUUUUUACUAAAAGAUCCAACAUCCUAUAAACCAAUUUAUAAUUACAUAAAAAAUACAAUUCAAACAAUUUAAAUGACAAAAUUUAGUGAAGUGAAGUGUAGUGACCCCAAAGCAAUGAACAUUUUCCAAAUAAGAUAUGACCUAAAGGUCUCUGUCACCAGGUCAUAAAAUUAAAAAAAAAAAAAAAAAAAAUACAAUGAUUCACAGACUAACAAAUUAAUUGUACUACGUAGGCAAUACUUAAGUUUUAGCCAUGUGCAAUUAGAUUCGCCUAGAGACAAGAGUGAAGUAAUUUUAGGGAUAGUAUUAAACCAAGAAGUGAAAUUAUGUAGGUAAUGGAAAAUAGCAAGGAAGAACAGUGAUGUAACGAAAUCUAUUUUUUUUGUGAACAUUAUAUACCUAAAACCGCAAACAAAUGUAGUAAGUAACCCACCGAUUAGAAGACCGUUAUAAUUGAAUUUGGCUGAAAUGAUUUGCUCCUCUGACCAUUGGGGAUCGUGGUUUGCGUCAUCCUUGAAGAACGUCUCUUGUUUUGGAGGAGUGAACCUGAAGCCUUCUGGUACACCAGGAUUUCUUUUUAGGAAAGAGCCAGUUGCAAGGCGGCGGGUAACCCAUUCAAUGGGGAUCAUCUCACAUUUUUUGGAUAAGAACGCAGUUUCAGAGGCAAUCUUAACGAAGGCAGUUUUGAUUCCUGAAAUGGUGAUUAUAUUUGUAAGGUUCUAAGCAUUCAUCGCUACAGGGGGCAAUAGGAGUGUAAGCAGAGCAACGUGGACUCUAAAACAUUCCCUACACUCAAAAUCACGCACGCACACAGAUUAUAUUUUUAGAGUAAAAGAUAUACUAAAUAAAAAAGAUAUACUAUGUUCAUGCUUCUGUAACAAUUUAAAGGUGAGAUUAAAAAAAGGUUCAACAAUA